rnacentral:rRNA from 1 species
AGUGAACGCUGGCGGCGUGCUUAACACAUGCAAGUCGAACGAGAACGGAUUAUAGCUUGCUAUAAUUGUCAGCUAAGUGGCGCACGGGUGAGUAAUGUAUAGGUAAUAUGCCUCUUACUAAGGGAUAACAAAUGGAAACGUUUGCUAAUACCUUAUACUCCUUUUAAACAGAAGUUUAAAAGGGAAAGAUUUAUUGGUAAGAGAUUAGCCUGUAUUGUAUCAGUUAGUUGGUGGGGUAAUGGCUUACCAAGACUAUGACACAUAACUGGUUUGAAAGGAUGAUCAGUCACACUGGAACUGAGACACGGUCCAGACUCCUACGGGAGGCAGCAGUGGGGAAUACUGCACAAUGGACGAAAGUCUGAUGCAGCAACGCCGCGUGAGGAUGACACAUUUCGGUGCGUAAACUCCUUUUAUAUGAGAAGAUAAUGACGGUAUUAUAUGAAUAAGCACCGGCUAACUCCGUGCCAGCCGCCGCUGUAA